rnacentral:tRNA from 1 species
GCAGAGAUGUCAGAGUGGUCGAUCGUGCAGUCUUGGAACGGCUGUGUACGGAAACGUACCCAGGGUUCAAAUCCCUGUCUCUGCGCCA